UUUCCUUUAAAACUUUUGAAAAUACUGCUUUUCUUCAUAAUAGUAUUAUUCAUAAUAGUCCCAAAUUAGAAAACAACCUAAAUGUCUAUCAACAGUAGUACAGAUAAAUAAACUUUUCCUAUAUUUCUACAAUACAGCAAUGUUUCUAACUGGAAACGAUGUUGCCUCCCAGGAGACAUUUGGCAAUGUCUGGAGAUAUUUUUUUGGUUCUCAUAACUUGUUGGGAGAGGGAAGAGGAUUGCAAUUGGCAUCUACUGGGUAGAGACUGAGGACGCUGCUAAAUAUCUUGCAUUGCAUAGGACAGUCUUCCCAUAAAAGAAUUAUCUGGCCCAAAAUAUAAGCACUGCUGAGGUUGAGAAACUCUGCUCUAUUAUCAGUGAGAAUAGAUGAACAAUUGCUACAUGGAUGCAAACACAUAACUCCCAUAAACAUAUGUUGAGCUAAAGACGCCAGAUACAAAUUAGUAUAUACAGUGUGCAUAUAUUUAUGUAAAAUUCAAAAAUAGAAAAAAACUAAUUCAUGGUGUUAGCAGUUAGGAUGGAGUUGUCUGUGGGGUACAAAUGGUGACUGGUAAGGGCCAAUUAAAAGGGCCUUUUAAUAUGAGGGUUAGUUACACAGAUGUAUUCACAUUGUGAAAAUCAAGCUGUGUUUUAUAAAUGGUGAGAUAGAAAUAUAUAAUUAUUUACAUAUAUAAUUAUACAUUAUGUGAUAUAUAAAUUUUAUAUAUGUAUAUGUAUAUAUACAUACUUAUAUUGGAAUAAAUGUUUUUCAGAAUUCCAUUGUCUGCUUUUAAGAGAUGAUCUGUUCUUCCUCUUUGGAAGCAUUUUCUCUUUGUUUUUGAUAUCCUAAGCUAUCAUUUUAACGUGACUAAGAGUGGGUUUAUUCAUACAUAUCUGUUUGUCACUCUACGAAACGUUUUUUGUAAAUUUUUAAAUGUUUAUUUAUUUUUGAGAGAGAGACAGAGUGUGAGCCGGGGAGGGGCAGAGAGAGAGGGAGACACAGAAUCCAAAGAAGGCUCCAGGCUCUGAGCUGUCAGCACAGAGCCCAACGUGGGGCCCAAACUCACGAACCACAAGAUCAUGACCUGAGCCAAAGUUGGACACUUAGCUGACUGAGCCACCCAGCCACUCCACUGUGAGAUCUUUUAAUCUAAAGUCUAUUCUUUCUUUCUAAUCUUGGGAAAAAAUUUUAGUUAUUGUUUCUUCAAAUAUUUUCUUACCUAUGCUCAUUUUUUACCCCUUCUGGGAUUUUUAUUAUCUAAAUGCUGACAGGUCUGCUUCUCUCUUCCAUAUAUGUCUCGUAGCUUCUCUUCUAUAGUUUAUUAUUUUUUCAUCUCUUCCCAGUUAUUCCUCUGGAUGAUUGUCUUGACUGGAAUUUCCAGUCUCACUAAUUCAUUCUUCAAGUUUAUUCAGGCCAUUGAAUGGGUAGGAACAACCGUUGAGUGGUCUUGAGCUAUUUUCCCAUAAAGGCAAACAAAAUGGAAAUAAGGUUGACAGGAAAUACACAGUUUCUUAAAAAAAAAAAAAAAGUAAAAAUAAAUAAAAUAAGUUUCUGCAUUCUGUUAUUCAACCAAUCUAUAAAGUUCCUUUUUAAAAAAAAAACAGCAUUGGUUUUUAAUUUAAUAUUUUAAUAUUUAAUUGAUAUUAAAACAGUUAAUAUUUUGCAAACCAGCUUCGCUAAUUUUUUUUAUUAUUUUUCAACAUGAGUAUUUGUUCUUGAGUCAUUUUAUAAACUCUUCUAUAUUUUUGAAGAUAUUUGUUGUGCUUAUUUGAAUUGUCUGUUCUGGCCCUUCAGCUGGGCUUUAUCUGAUAUUCAUUGGCUACCCUUUUGACUUUCUUUUGUGGUGUUGCUCGCCUCGGUUAUUCUAAUUUGUGAUCACACACACCAGCUUUCCCCUUGGGGGCUCAUCGCCUUGGUUGGGAAUGUGUGUCCAGGCGGAGGGCUGAAAGGACUGGCCCCUGUUGUGUUCUGCAAAGUUUUAAGAAUGGUCGGACUGUGGUGAGGGAGCCAGCAGCCCUUUGUUAGUUUAUCAUGUUGCUGGAAACCAGAAACAGCAGUGAGAAUGGACUUUAAAAGCAGCCUCUUGAAGACUCUUAAAUAUGGAGAACAAACAGAGGGUUACUGGAGGGGUUGUGGGAGGGGGGUGGGCUAAAUGGGGAAGGGGCAUUAAGGAAUCUACUCCUGAAGUCAUUGUUGCACUAUAUGCUAACUAACUUGAAUGUAAAUUUAAAAAAUAAAAUUAAAAAAAAAAACCCAGCCUCUUGAUAACCAUGUGACCUCAGGCUAGUUAUUUAAGUUUGGACAUCUGUGAAAUAUGGCUGAUAGUGGGUUGCUUCAGAGGGUUAUUGUGGGUUGGCACAGCACUGGCACAUAGUAUCAGUUCAUCAUAUGAGCUAUUGUUAUUAUGACAGGGUGUAGGCCAUCAUCAGUGGGGAGCUGAGGCUGGUAGUUGGAAUUGUGGAUUUGAAUGUCACAUCCCUGUGGUAAUGAAGAGUGAGGAAUUAAGAUGGUAUAGGGAGGGGUCCUGGCAUUUAAGGGUUAGUGGACAAAGAAAGAAAAGGAGAGGGAGAGGGAGGGUGUAUCUCAGGAAGAGAUUGGGCCACAGAGCCAGGGGAAAGGAAAGUCUCAAGAAAAGGAAGGGGGUCAUCUGCAGAACCAGAGGCUCUGGAGAAAACAAAUUUUUGUUUUUAUUUUUUUUUUUUAGCAGUCAGAUACUCCUUGGUGAAUUUAGAUCAGUUUUAGUGGAGAGGAGGGGACAGAAGCCAGAUUAUAGCCAGUUGGGAAAGAAAGAGGAAGUAAAGAAGUAGAGACAUGUAUAGACCUUUCUUCCCAAAUAUUUGGCUGUGAAAAAAAGGAAAGAGAUUAAGGCGAUGGCUGGGAGAAGUGUCCAGUCAGAAGAAACACAAGUGGGUUUGUUUCUUGUAGGUAGAGAGCCAACUCCAUCUCUCCCAUAUCUUUCCCCUUCCUUCUUCCCUUCUCCUUCACCCCUUUCCUCUUCCUUCCUUCUAGUUCUCUUCUCUAAGCUAAACUUUGGAUCAUUCUGCAAAUGAAGCAGGUGACUAGGAAGCUCUGGGAGAGAGAGUGCAGCCAACUUGAGGAGGGCAGGGUGAACAGGGAACAGCACUUGCCCUGAGGAGCAGAGCAAUGGGGUCCCAAGCCCAGGUGUGCCUUGGAUCCUUGCCCGUUGUUGCAGGUGGGGAGGAGCCGUAUCAGUGUAGGUAGGUUUGCGAUGGGGAGAAAUGGGGUAGGGGAGGAAAGUAAUCAGGGUUUCUGCCAAUGUAUUUAGUUUGGUUUAUUAAGAACCUCAGGAGUCUUGAAAUGGGCAUCUUCAUCUUUCCCAGAGAUGGGUAAUAUUCUCCUCUCACAGAGCUCUGCACAAGACUGGGAUAAAGUGAUGUGUGUGGAAGGCCCUUGUGAGCUGUGAGCUGUGCAUUGCUGGCAGAGGAAAGGCAGUCACUGAAAAUAUCUAAUUUUGCCUGAUUAUUGGCUCAGAUGAUGCCAGGACUCCAUUACACAGUGAUGACCCCUGGGGGCACGCAGGCACAGGGUCCAUGGUGUGGCCCAUCCUUUUUGGAGUGAUUUUAAGUAUCAGCAGACUAUUAUGAGGUUCCCCCUGAUUACUUAGAAAUGAGGGAAUCAGACUGCCUCCUACAGUCCAAUACUGAAAUGAACACACAUUGAAGUGCAGGUGGAGGGGGCUGCGUAGAUCCCAGCCUCAAAACCUUUCACGCCCACUAGAUGUCUUCACAGGUUGACUCGUGACAGGUAUUUUGGGCCCAGAUGCUAUUUGUGGAGAUAACAUCUCUACCACUUGGGUCUCUUAGAUUCUGUUUUCAGCUACUUGUUGUAUUUGUGUGUGUGUGGGAGAUGCAUACGUGUGUGUGUAUGCAUCUGUGCAGAUGUGCACAUGUAUUUAGGGGGUGGGAUCUAUCCGCUAUAUGCAGAAGUGCCAAAAAGAAAGAAUGGUAGGUGGAGGGUGUACAGCAUUCUUGAUCUUCUAAUAUUCUGAUUGAAAAUACCCAUAAAGCUGAGAACAAAAGGCAUUAAGAGCCCUCAAUUUCUAAAGGGAGGAGCUAGACCAGUUAUGCAGAACAUGCCAAAUGGGGAUCAAAAAAUCUGGUUCCAUUGCUGCUUUGGGAGUAUAAAGAGGCAUGUAAAUGAUGGAGAGAGAGUGACCAAGAGCAGGAAUCCCUGCCCACACAUACCUCAAAGGAAGGGCAGGAGGCUCCCUGAGAACCACUGAGAGAAUGUGGUAUCACCUUGAGUUCAGAGGGCAAUCUGGAACAGAUGCCUAUUCCUUCCUAAAACUGAAAGCAAGAGGUCGUCUAGGGGUGCCUGGGUGGCUCAGUUGAUUAAGCAUCUGACUCUUGAUUUUGGCUCAGGUCAUAAUCUUGUGGUUUGUGAGUUCAAGCCCCGUACUGGGCUGCGCGCUGAUAGCAUGGAGCCUGCUUGAGAUUCUGUCUCUCUGUCUCUCUCUGCCCCUUCCCUGCUCUCUCUCUCUCUCUCUCUCUCUCUCUCUCUCUCUCAAAAUAAAUAAACUUAAAGAAAAAAGAGGUUGGCUAGAGCCUGCCUGAGGAAUCAGAGCUACCAUGGGUGUGUGGUGGGCUUCCAGCAAGGACCCUGAAAAGGAAACCCAAAGGAUACUGUCCUUGGGAUUGGGUCUCAGGGCACAAGACAGAGACAGCAGUGAUUAGGUUGGCUGGUGUGUGUGUGUGUGUGUGAGUGUGUGUGUGUGUGUGCAUGUACACAUGCAUGCUUGUGUGUGAACUGGAAAUUUAUUCUCCCUAGGCACUGUUGGGAGAUACUCAUUAUGCUCAGUUUCUCAUUCAGAGAGGUGCAUCUUGCAGUGGCCUCAACGCUUCCCACUAGAAUCGUCUUCUGCCUCCAGAAUUCUCUGGAGGUGACUAGACUAGAAGGAAACCUGGUGCCUCAGAGCCUACGCAUUUCAGCAGCUUCUCCUUGUCUUCCAAUCCUCAUAUAGAAAUAGAGGCAGGGUUGUUGGGCCUGUCUGGGCCUGGUAGCCAGGGAUAUGGCCCUUCCUGACCUCCACUCUCCUCGAACCUCCAGACGUCCUACUCUUGCUCACCAGUUUUCUAACCUGCUAUCCCAGGCCAGAGAAAUGAGGUAACACAGCUGCCACCAGUGCUGCCCAGUGCUGAGCGCAGGAGCUGUGAGGUCGGGGCUGCCAGCAGAAGUGCUGGCCCAGCUGAAACAAGGACCAAAGAGUGGGAAGGGUCACCAUGUACCACACUUUGGACAGAGAGUGUGAAGUCCCAGUACUACACAGAGAGGGCUGCUUCCUCGAGAUUUCUCAGCCCUCUUUGGAAGCUCUCAAAGAGCCCAGGAGUGCUGGCACAUGCUAUGACUCGGGCUCCCCUUCUGUAGCCUGCAUCUCAGAUCGAGUGGGACACACUCACAUUAUUAGGCCUUUUGUUCAGAAAGGGUUGCACAUUUCAUCAGCCUACAGGAUUCUAAGCCUGGCUUUAUCACUUAACAGCUGUGCGACUCUGCUUACGUGUGUGUGUCACUUCCCCUCUCUGAGUCUCGCUUUCUUCAUCCUUGAUCAGAUCUAUUCUAAACGGUUGCUGGAGGAAUAAAAUGAGAUAACACACAUAAAGUGACUUGCACAAUGUCUGGGAAAGGGUAGGACAUACAAAUUGCUUUCUUUCCCCAUCAGCUUUACCUGAAGCCUCGUCCCUAAUGUGGUAGGGUCCCUUCCCUAAGGAAAGAAAAAACAAAAAACCUCAAGGUAAUCUAUGUGCAUAUGUGACAACAUCCCUCAUGACCUUGUAACAACAUGAGACCACUUAAUCAGACUGCAUGUUUGUAUGUGUUACCAUAUAUGGGAGACAAAGAAGAAAAUAUAUAAAAAACCAUGCCAUGUGGCAUUCAGGGCUCAGUUCUUCGGGUAUGAAGCCAACUGAGUGGUGCCGGCAGGAAUAAAGUUGCUUCCUGGAAAGAAAAGCCUUGGUGUCAUGACUCUCUGUGCGAGAAUCCUGCUACAUUACUUGGGGGCUUGUCCAGGAUUUGGAGAUGGUGCAUUUCCACCUCCUUUGCUGCAGGAGAUAUGAAUCCCGGAGGGCCGGGAGAGGCAGCCUUACCUGGAGCCAGCAGAUGGCUUGAUCCACAGGAGACUAGCCCUCCCAGUACCAGGGUGAGGACCCUGUGUACGUCAAUGGAACCCAUAAGGCCCAGGAACCAGCUCAGGGAGCGCUGCCCAUCAGACUGUUUAGCCGAAGUGGGUCCCUGGAUUCAUUACAUCAGAGUGAAGCUAGCAUCUCGAAACUGGGAGUGCAUUCCUGAUCCAUCAACACCAUGUAAGCUGACCAUACCGAAGAAGCAAUCUGCAACUCCAGAGGCUCUGGGAGACUGCAGCCCUGCUUUACUCACUCCGGAAGCUGACUAAUCUACGUGUGGCAGAAGCUUGAAGAAUCGACAGUCCGGCAAAACAAAAGACGGUCCUUGUUUUCUAUAUCUGUUUCUUUACUGUGAUGCACUGUCACACCUUGUUUCUCGCUAUUAUGAUUCUUGCUCUGCUCUUUGCCAUAGGAUUGGCUGAGGCUGCCCAGGCCUGCUAGAAAAGUGGUGAGAGGUUUCUGUUAGCACUCACCUUCCUUUUGUGGAUAGGAUACUUCGUUGGUACCAACAUGGGGAAACAAUGGCCAUAAGAGAUUAGAAAAUUAGAUCCCCACAAAUUUUCUAGUAAAACAAAAUACCCCAGUCCUACUACUGGGGUUUGGGUUCUCAAAAGCUCAAUUAUUGGGAAAAACUGUCUUGUCUGGUAGGGUAAAAGUUCAUCAUCAUCUCUGUUAAAAACUUAACAUGCCUAGGCCAAAGAUUUUAUAACUGAACUGCUCAGAAAACCCAAUGGUGGGGGACCCCAAAUUACCUUGAGCCAGGUCCCCACCCCUUUUCUAACUUCUCUCAUCUCUGAGAGGCCUGGGACAAUGUCAACACAGCAUGAAAUGGUGGGCCCCAGGUGGACUAUACUAGAUAUGUGGAAGGACAGCCUAUAUGGUACUUCCCUCAGUCUGGUCAGGGUCAUAUGUGCUGGAAACCGUUCGUCCAUCUUUCUUCCUGCUCCCACUUGCCAGAGGAAAACAUUUCGGAGUCCAAAUGUAUGGGAACAGGGAGACUUAAAGGAAACAGUGUGCCUUACAAAUUGGCAAUUAAAAAGAUGAUAAAUGGCCUCCCAAGCAUAUAAUCCAAUAUUAUGGCCCUGCCACCUGGGCAGAGGAUGGGUCCUGGGGCUACCACACUCCCAUUUACAUGCUAAACCACAUAAUCAGACUACAAGCAGUUAUAAAAAUUAUAACUGCCAAUAAAACUGCCAGAGCUCUUAACUUACUAGCCAAGCAGCAAACCAAAAUGUGCAAUACUAUCUAUGAAAAUCGCUUGGACUUAGAUUAUCUGCUUGCUUCUCGGAAAAAAAAAAAAAAUUUAUAAAAAGUUUAACUUAAGCAACUGCUGUUUUCAGAUAAAUAAUGGGGGGGAAAAGUCAUAAAAGAGAUCACAAAUCAAAUAAAAAGGAUUGUUCAUGUCCCCAUCCAGACCUGGAACAGUUGAAACCUGGGGAAUUAUUUGGAGGAUGGUUUUCAACUUUUGGGGGAUUCAAACUCUCGUAAAAAUAUCCUCCUAAUUCUGGGAGGUUGCUUAAUCCUCCCUUGCUUGGCUCCCUUGGUCUGUCUCCAGUCUCAUUGAGGCCAUGAUUUUAAAAAAAAGGAUGGCCAUUCAUGUAAUGAUGUUACAGAAAUACAAACCUCUAAACCAAGAUGAUGCUCUUUGAUCCAAAAUAGAGGCGUCCGAGCAUCAAUGGGGUAGGGUCCCCUCUCUAAGGAAAGGAAAAAACAACAACAAAAAACCAUUCAAGGUAACCUGGCUAUGUGCGUACGUGACAACAUCCCUCAUGACCUUAUAACAUGAAACCAUUUAAUCAGACUGCAUGUUUGUGUGUUAACAUACAUGGAAGACAAAGAAAUAGAAAAUAUGUAAAAAACUACGCCAUGUGGCAUUUGGAGCUCAGUUCUUUGGCACAAACCCAACAGAGUGGUGCCGGCAGGAAUAAAGUUGCUUCCUGGAAAGAAAAGCCUCGGUGUCACGACUAUGCACGAGAACCCUACUACACUAAUAGUGCACAUAAGGCGAGCAUUGCUUGCUGGGAAGAGGGAGGGCAGGUUCUGUCCACACCCUUGUAUGCUGGCUGUAAUGGUGGGGAGACUGGGCCUGUUCCUCUUAGCCACCCACUCCCUGGGGGGAUGCCACCUGCAGGACAGGGUGGGAAGGAGGUCAACUCUGUGAACACUGGGGCCAGGUGAUGCAGGGUGAGAGGUCUGUGCAGAGUGCAGACAAAACCCCACAACCUGAAAGAAAGACCCAGCUCAACAAUGCUCUUUUCAAGUGCCCAUGCUCAAACCUAACAGGCCUUCACCUGGCCCUGCAGCUCCAGUCUCACACCUUGAGCCCACCUUCCACUUUACACCAGAGGGCACUUCCUGAAACGCUAGCCCAUUUGCAUCCCUCCUCUUCUCAAAAUCCUCAGUGGCUCCCUCGUGGUUAAAUCUGUGCUUUUCAAAUAAUGAAAAAAGGACCUUUAUUGAGUUCUGAAAUCAAUUUAGUGAAUUGCAAUCAGCAUUAAAAAAAUUGAAUGGAUGGGGCGCCUGGGUGGCUUGGUCGGUUAAGCGUCCGACUUCAGCUCAGGUCAUGAUCUCACAGUUCGUGAGUUCGAGCCC